GACGAACCGUGCAAACGUUAUUCGGAAUCACUGGGCAUAAAGGGCGCGUAGGCGGCUCCAAAAGUCAGGGGUGAAAUCCGGCAGCUUAACUGUCGCAGUGCCUUUGAUACUGUGGAGCUAGAGGGAGGUAGGGGUCUGUGGAACUUCCGGUGGAGCGGUGAAAUGCGUUGAUAUCGGAAGGAACGCCGGUGGCGAAAGCGACGGACUGGAUCUCUUCUGACGCUGAGGCGCGAAAGCCAGGGGGGCAAACGGG
rnacentral:rRNA from 1 species